UACAGAGGUCCCAAGCGUUGUUCGGAUUCAUUGGGCGUAAAGGGUGCGUAGGCGGCGCGGUAAGUCGGGUGUGAAAUCUCGGGGCUUAACCGAGGAACUGCCGUCCAAACUGCUUCGCUUGAGACCGGGAGAGGUGAGUGGAAUUCCCAGUGUAGCGGUGAAAUGCGUAGAUAUUGGGAGGAACACCAGUGGCGAAGGCGGCUCACUGGACCGGUACUGACGCUGAUGCGCGAAAGCGUGGGGAGCAAACGGG
rnacentral:rRNA from 1 species